rnacentral:lncRNA from 1 species
GUGAAAAUACAGAAGUUGGUGCCCUUUGCAGCAGCCAGGAGUCCGACUCCUCCUCUUCCUGUGUGGAACCUGGAAUUCAAACGGCUGGGUAGGAAGCACGCUAGCAGGGGCCUCUGGCCUUGCUGAGGGUCCCUGUUUCCCCUUUUCCUUCCUUUUCACCCAACAAAACCCUGCUUUACUCACCCUUCAAACCAUCUAUGAGCCUAAAUUGUCGUGGUCGUGGAAUGGACAAGGACCCAGUCUUUAGCUGAACUAAGGGAAAGUCCUGCUUUUUGGCGCGCAACAGGGGAGCUCAAGAAACAGGCCUCACUCACGGCAUAUGGAACUAACCACGCCCCUAACUAAGAAGGCACACCUUAGUUGCAGUUAGCACACAAUUAAAGCAACUCUCCAAGUUUUACCUUAAAGUUCAAAAUUGCUAGGAGUUGAAACUACUAGAAAUAUAUUUACAUGCAAGAGUCAAAGAAACUUUGAACUAUUUAUGGCCUUUAAUAAUUAAGUAAGGUAUACUCCUGUGAUCAAGACUUGGAGCAUAUUUGUUUCUCUCUGCCUGGUUCCUCUAGAAAUUGGAAACUAUCAGAACAGAGACCAACUCCGUUUCCCGAUCCCUUUGCAAUCUGCAUUGAACCAUGAGUCAAGUUCUUGAUAAAGGAGUGAAAAUGGAUGACAUUUAAGGCACAUCUGAAGAUGGGGAAACCACAGCACAGAAUAAGGCUGGGCCCUUGAAUCAAUAAAUGAAGGAGAACUACUCAAGAGAACAAAACCACCAGCAAUAUCCACCUGUAUUUGUCUUUUCAUAAUGUGUGACACAUGUGCUCAUGGAUUAUUGUCCGAAGCAAGACAUGUGACCAAGCCUAACAUCAACUGGGUGAAGAGCUAUAUGUUCCUUUCUCAAGAGGCACUACAAGUGACAUGCCACUGGGCAGCACUGUUCACAUUAUGUAAGUGAUAAAAUUGACCUAAAUAUCCAUCAAUGGACAAAUAGAUCAAGAAAACAUGAUAAACAUACACAGUGGAAUACUAUACAGCUACAAAAAGAAUGACCUUCUGUCAUUUGUGACAACGUGGAUAAACCUGCAGGACAUUCUGUUAAGUGAAAUCAACCAGGUACAGAAAAACAAAUAUUGCAUGAGCUCACUCAUAUGUGGAAUCUAAAGUAAUUUUACUCAUUGACCAACCUCUUUCCAUCCCCCAUCCCCUUUUCUCUCCUCAACCUCUGGUAACUGCUGUUCUACUCUUUAUUUCUAUGAGACCACAGUUACAGUUAGAUAGGAAGAAUAAAUUCUGGUGUUCUAUUACAUAGCAGAGUGACUACAGCUAAAAAUAGUGUAUUAUAUAUUUCAAUAUAGCUAGAGAAGAAGAUCUUGAAUGUUAUCACCACAAAGAAAUGAUAAUGCUGUGGUAAUGGGUAUGUUAAUUAUCCUGAUAUGAUCAUUAAACAAUGCAUAUAUCUAUUGAAACAUCACAGUAUACCCCCAAACAUGUACAAUUAUUGUGUCAAUUAUAAACAAAAAUAAGAAAGAAAAUUCAGAAGGAGGGAUUUUUUUUUAAUCUUGUCCUUUUUUGUUCACA